ACCAGGCAAUGGCAUUUGUUAAUCAAAUUAGUCUUUGCCACUACGACUUUUGAUAAUCUAGUAGCUGGCGAAAGACUAAUCGAACCAUCUAGUAGCUGGUUCCCUCCGAAGUUUCCCUCAGGAUAGCUGGCGCUCAUUGGUAUAAUCAGUUUUAUCCGGUAAAGCGAAUGAUUAGAGGUACUGGGUUCGAAAUGGACUCAACCUAUUCUCAAACUUUAAAUGGGUGAGAUGCUCGACUCGCCUCGUGUGCGUGUGUGUAAUAACUGCGCGGAGUCGGGCGUUGAAUGUGCGAGUGCCAAGUGGGCCAUUUUUGGUAAGCAGAACUGGCGCUGUGGGAUGAAUCUAUCUUACACGCCCUUCUAUGUGUAGCGUUUUACACAUUUUAUGAAUCAAGGUGGCACAAGUUGUUGGU
rnacentral:ncRNA from 1 species